rnacentral:lncRNA from 1 species
UAAACCCUGCUCAGAAGUCAAGAGCAGCAGCGCCGCCGCUCCUCGCGGCCUUUCAAGCCGCAGACGCUCCUUAUUCUUGAGCUUCGGCCUCACCGGGCGCCCCCCGAGACCGCCGCUCUCUUCCCGCUAAAUCCCCUUCGGGGUCAGUGCGCUACCAGCACCGGGCCGCGCGCCUCUCCUGCCAGCCGUGUGGCUCUUAAAGAGCGGCGCCCCCCUCCGCCCCGCGCGCUCCUCAGACCCCCGCCUCCCCGCCCCUCGCCUUCGGAUCUAGCCCCCCACGCCGACUCCUGAGGUCCCUGCUGCCCCGCC